rnacentral:misc_RNA from 1 species
GAUGAAGAACGCAGCGAAAUGCGAUACUUGGUGUGAAUUGCAGAAUCCCGUGAACCAUCGAGUGUUUGAACGCAAGUUGCGCCCGAAGCCAUCAGGUUGAGGGCACGUCUGCCUGGGCGUCACAUAUCGUUGCCCUAUGCCUAUUGCAGUGCAAUAGGAAUUUCUAGGGCGAAUGAUGGCUUCCCGUGAGCGUUGUUGCCUCGCGGUUGGUUGAAAAUCGAGUCCUUGGUAGGGUGUGCCAUGGUAGAUGGUGGUCGAGUUAGAACGAUACCGAUCAUGUGCAUGCUCCCCAAAAUAUGGCCUCUAUGACCCACACGCGUCUUUUGACGCUCAUGACGAGACCUCAGGUCAGGCGGGGCUACCCGCUGAAUUUAAGCAUAUCAAUAAGCGGAGGA